GGAAAAGAGAAAGCAAGAAAGGGCGCACGGGGGAUGCCUGUGGCUCUCGGAGGCGAAGAAGGACGUGACAAGCUGCGAAAAGCCGCGGUGAGGGGCAAAUGCCUUGUGACCCGCGGAUGUCCGAAUGGGGAAACCCGCCGGGAGAGAUCCCGGCACUGCGGCGACUGCCGCAGGGCGAACGCGGGGAACUGAAACAUCUCAGUACCCGCAGGAAGAGAAAAUAACAAUGAUUGCGCCAGUAGUGGCGAGCGAACGCGCAAGAGCCCAAACCGGGGCGGUCGAGGCCGCGCCCGGGGUUGUAGGACCGCCGGCAAAGGCGUCGUGAAGGGUAGCCGAACACGCAGGAAAGCGUGACCAUAGGGGGUGACAGUCCCGUAGGCGAAACCCGGAGCGGAGCCGAGGCGGCACCUGAGUACCGCGGAACACGAGGAAUUCUGCGGGAAUCUGCGGGGCCCAUCCCGCAAGGCUAAAUACUACCGAGAGACCGAUAGCGCACAAGUACCGUGAGGGAAAGGUGAAAAGAACCUCGAGCAGAGGAGUGAAACAGACCCUGAAACCGUGCGCCUACAAGCGGUCGGAGCACCAGCAAUGGUGUGACGGCGUGCCUUUUGCAUAAUGAACCUACGAGUUGCCGUCGCCGGCGAGGUUAAGCGCGGGCACGCGCGGAGCCGAAGCGAAAGCGAGUCCGAACAGGGCGA
rnacentral:rRNA from 1 species